rnacentral:rRNA from 1 species
AUUAAGCCAUGCAUGUCUAAGUACACACGAAUUAAAAGUGAAACCGCAAAAGGCUCAUUAUAUCAGUUAUGGUUCCUUAGAUCGUUAACAGUUACUUGGAUAACUGUGGUAAUUCUAGAGCUAAUACAUGCAAUUAAAACAUGAACCUUAUGGGACAUGUGCUUUUAUUAGGCUAAAACCAAGCGAUCGCAAGAUCGUUAUAUUGGUUGAACUCUAGAUAACAUGCAGAUCGUAUGGUCUUGUACCGACGACAGAUCUUUCAAAUGUCUGCCCUAUCAACUUUUGAUGGUAGUAUCUAGGACUACCAUGGUUGCAACGGGUAACGGGGAAUCAGGGUUCGAUUCCGGAGAGGGAGCCUGAGAAACGGCUACCACAUCUAAGGAAGGCAGCAGGCGCGUAAAUUACCCACUCCCAGCUCGGGGAGGUAGUGACGAAAAAUAACAAUACAGGACUCAUAUCCGAGGCCCUGUAAUUGGAAUGAGUACACUUUAAAUCCUUUAACAAGGACCAAUUGGAGGGCAAGUCUGGUGCCAGCAGCCGCGGUAAUUCCAGCUCCAAUAGCGUAUAUUAAAGUUGUUGCGGUUAAAACGUUCGUAGUUGAACUUGUGCUUCAUACGGGUAGUACAACUUACAAUUGUGGUUAGUACUAUACCUUUAUGUAUGUAAGCGUAUUACCGGUGGAGUUCUUAUAUGUGAUUAAAUACUUGUAUUUUUUCAUAUGUUCCUCCUAUUUAAAAACCUGCAUUAGUGCUCUUAAACGAGUGUUAUUGUGGGCCGGUACUAUUACUUUGAACAAAUUAGAGUGCUUAAAGCAGGCUUCAAAUGCCUGAAUAUUCUGUGCAUGGGAUAAUGAAAUAAGACCUCUGUUCUGCUUUCAUUGGUUUUCAGAUCAAGAGGUAAUGAUUAAUAGAAGCAGUUUGGGGGCAUUAGUAUUACGACGCGAGAGGUGAAAUUCUUGGACCGUCGUAAGACUAACUUUAAGCGAAAGCAUUUGCCCAAGAUGUUUUCAUUAAUUCAAGAACGAAAGUUAGAGGU